rnacentral:rRNA from 1 species
GGAUUAGUGGCGAACGGGUGAGUAACACGUGAGUAACCUGCCCUUAACUCUGGGAUAAGCCUGGGAAACUGGGUCUAAUACCGGAUAUGACUCCUCAUCGCAUGGUGGGGGGUGGAAAGCUUUAUUGUGGUUUUGGAUGGACUCGCGGCCUAUCAGCUUGUUGGUGAGGUAAUGGCUCACCAAGGCGACGACGGGUAGCCGGCCUGAGAGGGUGACCGGCCACACUGGGACUGAGACACGGCCCAGACUCCUACGGGAGGCAGCAGUGGGGAAUAUUGCACAAUGGGCGAAAGCCUGAUGCAGCGACGCCGCGUGAGGGAUGACGGCCUUCGGGUUGUAAACCUCUUUCAGUAGGGAAGAAGCGAAAGUGACGGUACCUGCAGAAGAAGCGCCGGCUAACUACGUGCCAGCAGCCGCGGUAAUACGUAGGGCGCAAGCGUUAUCCGGAAUUAUUGGGCGUAAAGAGCUCGUAGGCGGUUUGUCGCGUCUGCUGUGAAAGACCGGGGCUCAACUCCGGUUCUGCAGUGGGUACGGGCAGACUAGAGUGAUGUAGGGGAGACUGGAAUUCCUGGUGUAGCGGUGAAAUGCGCAGAUAUCAGGAGGAACACCGAUGGCGAAGGCAGGUCUCUGGGCAUUAACUGACGCUGAGGAGCGAAAGCAUGGGGAGCGAACAGGAUUAGAUACCCUGGUAGUCCAUGCCGUAAACGUUGGGCACUAGGUGUGGGGGACAUUCCACGUUUUCCGCGCCGUAGCUAACGCAUUAAGUGCCCCGCCUGGGGAGUACGGCCGCAAGGCUAAAACUCAAAGGAAUUGACGGGGGCCCGCACAAGCGGCGGAGCAUGCGGAUUAAUUCGAUGCAACGCGAAGAACCUUACCAAGGCUUGACAUGGGCCAGACCGCCGCAGAAAUGUGGUUUCCCCUUUGGGGCUGGUUCACAGGUGGUGCAUGGUUGUCGUCAGCUCGUGUCGUGAGAUGUUGGGUUAAGUCCCGCAACGAGCGCAACCCUCGUUCUAUGUUGCCAGCACGUUAUGGUGGGGGACUCAUAGGGAGACUGCCGGGGUCACUUCGGAGGAAGGUGGGGACGAACGUCAAAUCAUCAUGGCCCCUUAUGUCUUGGGGCUUCACGCAUGCUACAAUGGCCGGUACAAAGGGUUGCGAUACUGUGAGGUGGAG